rnacentral:lncRNA from 1 species
GGUUCUCGUCACUAAAGGCCGUAGUGUAUCGUACUUCGGAGGAGGUGGCACGUGCCAGCUGCGACAGUUGCGGGUCUUCAACGGAUCGCACGUACCCAGGUGGGGCCUUCCUAUCGUAGACGCCAGGGGCGUAGGGAUGCUCGACGACGUCGUACGGGACGUAUGGCCACAACUCCGCCUUCUUGCCCGUGCGAUGAGCCACACGCGCCACCACCUUGUUCGGGUC